AGUCGAGCGAGAAGGUUUUCGGACUGAGUACAGCGGCGGACGGGUGAGUAACGCGUAGGAAUCUACCCAGUAGUGGGGGACAACUUAGGGAAACUUAAGCUAAUACCGCAUACGCCCUAUGGGGGAAAGCGGGGGAUCUUCGGACCUCGCGCUAUUGGAAGAGCUUGCGUUAGAUUAGCUAGUUGGUGGGGUAAAGGCUCACCAAGGCGACGAUCUAUAGCUGGUCUGAGAGGAUGAUCAGCCACACUGGGACUGAGACACGGCCCAGACUCCUACGGGAGGCAGCAGUGGGGAAUAUUGCGCAAUGGGCGAAAGCCUGACGCAGCCAUGCCGCGUGUGUGAAGAAGGCCUUAGGGUUGUAAAGCACUUUCAAUUGGGAGGAAGGAUUUAGCGUUAAUAGCGUUAAAUUUUGACGUUACCUUUAGAAGAAGCACCGGCUAACUCCGUGCCAGCAGCCGCGGUAAUACGGAGGGUGCGAGCGUUAAUCGGAAUUACUGGGCGUAAAGCGCGCGUAGGCGGUUUGUUAAGUCGGAUGUGAAAUCCCCGGGCUCAACCUGGGAACUGCACCCGAUACUGACCGACUUGAGUGCGAGAGAGGGAGGUAGAAUUCCAUGUGUAGCGGUGAAAUGCGUAGAUUUAUGGAGGAAUACCGGUGGCGAAAGGGGGCCUCCUGGCUCGACACUGACCCUGAGGUGCGAAAGCGUGGGGUGCAAACAGGAAUAAAUACCCGGGGAGUCCCCCCCCGUAAACGAUGUCUACUAACCGUUGGGGAACUUGAUUCUUUUGUGGGGCAGCUAACGCAUUA
rnacentral:rRNA from 1 species